UUUGAAAAAUUAUCUUAAUUCUUUAGCGGAUACUAGAAUCCACAAAGACUAUAUAUAGGCCCGAGGAUGGCUCGGUAAACCCAUAUGUACCUAUGGGUAGGUUCUCGAUUAAUUAUUUCUCCAAACAACUUCUAGUAUUAAUUUAGUCCCAGAUUUUAUUUCAGUAGGCGAUGGGCCUCUACUGAAAGUUUCGAUUAGGUCAAACCAUUAACAUGAACCUACUUAGUGAUUCUACCUAAUGAGUGAUC
rnacentral:lncRNA from 1 species